AUUGGGGUUGGUGUGGUAGGUGAGUUUGUCAUUAUUAUGUCCAAAAUAUUUCAUAUUGGACCACACUCUUCACGCAAACUUCUCAAAAAUUGCUAAACAUUAAAACUCUCUUCUUCAAUUUUUCCCGCAAGAUGGAGUCAGCUGAGGUUUGAACAAUUUAGUUUUCUUCUUUUUUUUUUCUUUCUUUUUUGCGUGAAUUAUCUGGGGCAAAUUUUUCCUUAAUUAAAUUAUGCCUCCAAGAUCCGUGAAUUUUACCGUCAAUUUGUGUAGAUUUGAGGAUAUUAGUUGUUGCCUUAAAUUUUUCAUAAAUUUUCCCUGAAUGUUGUUUGCGUGAAUUCUCCCUGAAUGUUUUUUGCGUGAAUUGAGAAGUGUUUGUGUGAGAAUUAAAACAAAUGCAUGAAUUAGAAACUUUGCAUUAAACAAUUCCAUGA
rnacentral:lncRNA from 1 species